rnacentral:rRNA from 1 species
GACGAACGCUGGCGGCGUGCUUAACACAUGCAAGUCGAACGGUAAGGCCCUUCGGGGUACACGAGUGGCGAACGGGUGAGUAACACGUGGGUGAUCUGCCCUGCACUUCGGGAUAAGCCUGGGAAACUGGGUCUAAUACCGGAUAGGACCACUGCCUGCAUGGGUGGUGGUGGAAAGCUUUUGCGGUGUGGGAUGGGCCCGCGGCCUAUCAGCUUGUUGGUGGGGUGAUGGCCUACCAAGGCGACGACGGGUAGCCGGCCUGGGAGGGGGACCGGCGACACUGGGACUGAGAUACGGCCCAGACUCCUACGGGAGGCAGCAGUGGGGAAUAUUGCACAAUGGGCGCAAGCCUGAUGCAGCGACGCCGCGUGAGGGAUGACGGCCUUCGGGUUGUAAACCUCUUUCAGCAUCGACGAAGCGAAAGUGACGGUAGGUGCAGAAGAAGGACCGGCCAACUACGUGCCAGCCGCCGCCGUAA